CCUACGGGGGGCAGCAGUGAGGAAUAUUGGUCAAUGGGCGGGAGCCUGAACCAGCCAAGCCGCGUGAGGGAAGAAGGUACAGCGUAUCGUAAACCUCUUUUGUCAGGGAACAAAGGCGGGGACUAGUCCCCGGAUGAGGGUACCUGAAGAAAAAGCAUCGGCUAAUUCCGUGCCAGCAGCCGCGGUAAUACGGAGGAUGCGAGCGUUAUCCGGAUUUAUUGGGUUUAAGGGGUGCGCAGGCGGCCUGUUAAGUCAGCGGUAAAAGCCCGGGGCUCAACCCCGGCGGGCCGUUGAAACUGGGGGGCUUGAGGUGGCGAGAGGAACGCGGAAUGCGCGGUGUAGCGGUGAAAUGCUUAGAUAUCACGCAGAACCCCGAUUGCGAAGGCAGCGCACGGGCUCCACACUGACGCUGAGGCACGAAAGUGUGGGUAUCGAACAGGAUUAGAUACCCGAGUAGUC
rnacentral:rRNA from 1 species